GGUCCAGUGGUGAAGUGGUUAUCACCCUUGAGACAAAUUCAAGUGGUCCUAGGUUCAAAUCCUAGCUGGGCCA